GACGAACGCUGGCGGCGUGCUUAACACAUGCAAGUCGAACGGACAGGCCCUGCUUUUGUGGGGUGCUCGAGUGGCGAACGGGUGAGUAACACGUGAGUAACCUGCCCUUGACUUUGGGAUAACUUCAGGAAACUGGGGCUAAUACCGGGUAGGAGCUCCUGCGCCAUGGUGGGGGUUGGAAAGUUUCGGCGGUUGUGGAUAGACUCGCGGGUUAGCCGCUUGUUGGUGUGGUUGGGGCUGACCAAGGCUUUGACGGGUAGGCCACCUGAGAGGGUGACCGGGGACAAGGGGACUACGAUAGGGAGCAGACGGGUAUGGGAGGCAGCGGUGGAAAAUAUGGCGCAGCGAGGGGACGCGUGUGACGGAGGCGCCGGGUGCGUGAAGACGGGCUUCGGGUUAUAAACAGAUGUGGCCUGAGACGAAGCGGGCGUGACGGUAAUGGAUAAAGAAGCAACGGCUAACUACGUG
rnacentral:rRNA from 1 species